ACGGCUCAGUAACACGUGGCUAACCUACUCUCAGGACGGGGACAAACCCGGGAAACUGGGGCUAAUAUCCGAUAGGCGAGGAAUCCUGGAAUGGUUCUUCACCCAAAGGACAUUGGAAACAUGCUUUCUCUGUCGCCUGGGGAUGGGGCCGCGUCCGAUCAGGUUGUUGGUGAGGUAAUGGCUCACCAAGCCUUUAACCGGUACGGGCCAUGAGAGUGGUAGCCCGGAGAUGGGUACUGAGACAAGGACCCAGGCCCUACGGGGCGCAGCAGUCGCGAAAACUCCGCAAUGCACGAAAGUGUGACGGGGCUACCCCGAGUGCCGUCCGCUGAGGAUGGCUUUUCCUUGGUGUAACUAGCCGGGGGAAUAAGGAGAGGGCAAGACUGGUGUCAGCCGCCGCGGUAAUACCAGCUCUCCGAGUGGUAGGGAUGAUUAUUGGGCUUAAAGCGUCCGUAGCCGGCUUAGCAAGUUUCCUGUUAAAUUCAGCGACCUAAUCGUUGAGCCGCGGGAAAUACUACUAGGCUAGGAGGCGGGAGAGGUCGACGGUACUUCUGGGGUAGGGGUGAAAUCCUAUAAUCCCGGGAGGACCACCAGUGGCGAAGGCUGUCGACUAGAACGCGCUCGACGGUGAGGGACGAAAGCUGGGGGAGCGAACCGGAUUAGAUACCCGGGUAGUCCCAGCUGUAAACGAUGCGGGCUAGGUGUUGGGGUGGCUACGUGCCACUUCAGUGCCGCAGGGAAGCCAUUAAGCCCGCCGCCUGGGGAGUACGGCCGCAAGGCUGAAACUUAAAGGAAUUGGCGGGGGAG
rnacentral:rRNA from 1 species